rnacentral:rRNA from 1 species
GCCUAUACCCAUGCCACCCUGAACACUCCCAAUCUCAUCUGAUCUCAGAAGCUAAGCAGGAUUGGGCCUGGUUAGUACUUGAAUGGGAGACCGCCUAGGAAGACCGGGUGCAGUAGGUG